GUACCAUGUGGCACCCAUAGCCAUUAUACCAGGAGUUCCCUAUCAAAAUGUAACUUCUAAAAGAUUUCAUUAAACUAAAUUAAGUUGAUUGUAACUUUGAGUGAUCUCUGUUGUUAUUCUUCUCCAUAUGUCUAAAUAAUGGAGAACAACUAGGAAAAUUGAGAUCGCUAUUUUCAGUAACCUCCACAGCAGAGUUACUAAUUACGUCAUACCUCUGCUGAAAACUUGGGUGGUUUUUCUUUCUAUUUGUUGUAUCAAUAUUCUUCGUGGAAUGGUUUCAUAGCUUCUGAUGAUAAAGCUCAUGUUUUGUUAGCACAAAACCCAUUUAUUUUAAGGCUAAUAUUUCCUUGCAUUUAUUAAGCUUUUUAUUUAUUUAUUUGUUUUGGGGAAGAUUAGGCCUGAGCUAACAUCUGCUGCCAGUCCUCCUCUUUGCUGAGGAAGACUGACCCUGAGCUACACCCGUGCCCAUCUCCCUCUAUUUUAUAUGUGGGACCCCUGCCACAGCAUGGCUGGAUAAGAGGUGCCAUGUCCGCACCUGGGAUCCAAACCCACGAGCCCCGGGCUGCUGAAGCAGAACGUGAGAACUUAACUCCUGCACCACUGGGCUGGCCCUGUUAAGCUUUUCAUUUUCAAUGACCCUUUAGUCUCUUCUCUUAUCUAAAAAGAGAACAGCUGAGGAGAAGUGCUCUGUUACCUUCCAAUAUUCCACAGAAUGGCUCUGUGACAGGCUAAAUCAUUGACAGCUUAAUCUGUGCAUUUUAUUUUCUUCAGUUUUUUCCCCCUCCCAUCUGGUCCAAUGAGGUAGGUCUUUGUAAUUCCCAUCCUGAGGAUUUUUCCAAGAAAAAGUGGAAAUAUCUUCAUGUCAAUAGUUCUUCCUACCUUUUGUAAAAGGCUAACUUAUUUGUCCAUGAAGCCAGGUAAGACUCCCAACAUUAUCACUUCCUACUAAGAGUGAAAAAGGGACCAAUAUUGAAAAAUGUUCAAUCAAAUAAUAUGUCAGUACAGCAUCAAUUAACAUAGAUGAUAUGUAUCGUUAUCAGAGAUAUUAAUUCAUUUACAGUGAAAAGGUAUUUAUACUAUGUAUUCAAACAGACAAUUAUCACAUCUGUUUUAUUUUACAGCUGGUUUAAAGUUUUCUUUUUAAAUGGUAAAGUGACAAUACCUCAUGAAAAUAGAGAUCAUUGAAAUUGAAGUUUUUAACAAAUGUUUAUUUAGAGCCCUGGAGCUUAAUUCUCUUAAGCUUUUUUACUUUUAUGAAUUUAAGUCAACUUUUCCUUUUUUAGUUUUGGAAUUGAUUUUUACAAUAACAAGAUAAAAGGGAUUACCUUCUCUAAACUACUUAUUUGUUUAAGUGGACAAAUAAUUAGUCACUGGCCUAUUUAAAAAAUAUCUUCCAAAUGUUGCUUUAGGAAACAAGUCUGGAUUUAAUUUGUGAGAAAUGCACACACAAAUUGAAAAGUAUGAAAUUCUGUUUUCUGCACUCCUUUUGCACUGAAAAAACUGCUGACUCUUUAAAACCAACCACUGAAAAGUGUUUUUGAUCUACACUCACAAUCUAUAAGUCUAUGUUAAGUAACCUUGAUAUUCUCUCUGUGAAAUUUCCGUAUCCUUUGAUUGUGACAGAACCAUCUAAUUCUGUUCCGUGAAGUCUUGAAAAGCAAAGAUGCUUGUAAAAUGGAUUAAAUUAAAAACAGCUUGAGUUCUUGAUCAUUAUACUUGGAAGAUUCCAGAUCUCUGUACCAUAUUGGCCUUCCUUUAUUGAAUUCCCCAAAAUAUUACGAAACAACCAUUUAAUAAAGCAAAGCUGAAUAGAUUAGAAGUCACUGCUGUGAGAUAGAAUGCCACCUUGACAGAUCUCAGCAGUUUCUCACGAGAGGGAAGUCUGAAUGGAUGUUUCUAGGGUGUUGAGGUCUGGGCAAAUGUUUCAAGACGGAGAGAUGAUGGAGACUGGGCAAACUUCUGACAUAAUAGUUUAGGAUUGGUGAACAGAGUAAGAGAGAACACUGAAGGAAUGUUUGGAGAGAAUGCUGAUGCCUCUGGACUGCGCCCAGUUCUAAACAAGGAUUAACACCAACCAUGCAUGCAUCUGCUAUGAACCCAAACGAUCUCUUAAAGCUGUUGCAUCUUUCCUCCCAUUCUUUGAGGACCAAAAAACGAAUAAAAAAUGUGUACUUUACAACCAAGAGAUUGUGUAAAACUCAUGCAAUUGGCAUAUCCUCUGUAAAAUUUAAGCUACUGAUCUACCAUUAGUGGAACAUAUGUUUUGAGUUAUUUUCUGAGUUAGGGAAUGAAUUUAGGUCACACCUCUACUGGGUUCUUUUUUGUUCAUUGAAUAAUAUAUACAUGUUUAUAAAUGUGCUUUUUAUGUAUAUGUUAUGAGUAUGUUUUCUAGAUAUGUGUUAAAAUUUAUUUAUUACAUAAGCCAGCCAUGGUGAUCUAGUGGUUAAUAUUCAGCAUUCUCACCACCAGGGCCUGGGUUCUUUUCCCAGUCAGGGAACCUUACCACCCUUCUGUCGGUUGUCAUACUGUACUGACUGUGUGCUGCUGUGAUGCUGAAAGCUAUGUCACUGGUAUGUCAAAUACCAGC
rnacentral:lncRNA from 1 species